UAGGGAAUCUUCCGCAAUGGACGAAAGUCUGACGGAGCAACGCCGCGUGAGUGAUGAAGGUUUUCGGAUCGUAAAGCUCUGUUGUUAGGGAAGAACAAGUGCCGUUCAAAUAGGGCGGCACCUUGACGGUACCUAACCAGAAAGCCACGGCUAACUACGUGCCAGCAGCCGCGGUAAUACGUAGGUGGCAAGCGUUGUCCGGAAUUAUUGGGCGUAAAGGGCUCGCAGGCGGUUUCUUAAGUCUGAUGUGAAAGCCCCCGGCUCAACCGGGGAGGGUCAUUGGAAACUGGGGAACUUGAGUGCAGAAGAGGAGAGUGGAAUUCCACGUGUAGCGGUGAAAUGCGUAGAGAUGUGGAGGAACACCAGUGUCGAAGGCGACUCUCUGGUCUGUAACUGACGCUGAGGAGCGAAAGCGUGGGGAGCGAACA
rnacentral:rRNA from 1 species